ensembl:lncRNA
GUCAACUUUCUGGGCCACGUGGUCAGUGCGGCUGGAGUGUCCGUAGAUCCUGGAAAGGUAUCGGCCGUGGAGGACUGGAAGGCCCCGAGGACAGUGAGGUCGUAACCGGGGCCGGGGGUCGCCCAACGUAGACUGGGAUGCAAAUUAUGCCAGCAAUCUCGGGCUGGGAGCGGUGUUGGCUCAACGGCAGGACGGAGUCGAGAGGGUCAUCGCGUAUGCCAGCCGGAGCCUCCACCCAGCCGAGAGGAACGAUGCGAACUAUAGUUCUUUCAAAUUGGAGCUGCUGGCGUUGAAGUGGGCCCUAAACGGCGAAGCUGGGAGCCGUGGAGCAGCGGUGGGUGGCCCAACUGGCCAACUUUGACUAUCAACUACAGUACCGACCAGGGCGUGAACACACGAACGCGGAC